rnacentral:rRNA from 1 species
AUUGAACGCUGGCGGCAGGCCUAACACAUGCAAGUCGAGCGGAUGCAGGGAGCUUGCUCCUGGAUUCAGCGGCGGACGGGUGAGUAAUGCCUAGGAAUCUGCCUGGUAGUGGGGGAUAACGUCCGCAAACGGGCGCUAAUACCGCAUACGUCCUGAGGGAGAAAGUGGGGGAUCUUCGGACCUCACGCUAUCCGAUGAGCCUAGGUCGGAUUAGCUAGUUGGUGGGGUAAAGGCCUACCAAGGCGACGAUCCGUAACUGGUCUGAGAGGAUGAUCAGUCACACUGGAACUGAGACACGGUCCAGACUCCUACGGGAGGCAGCAGUGGGGAAUAUUGGACAAUGGGCGAAAGCCUGAUCCAGCCAUGCCGCGUGUGUGAAGAAGGUCUUCGGAUUGUAAAGCACUUUAAGUUGGGAGGAAGGGCAGUAAGUUAAUACCUUGCUGUUUUGACGGUACCAACAGAAUAAGCACCGGCUAACUUCGUG